GUAGGUGGCAAGCGUUGUCCGGAAUUAUUGGGCGUAAAGCGCGCGCAGGCGGUUCUUUAAGUCUGAUGUGAAAGCCCACGGCUCAACCGUGGAGGGUCAUUGGAAACUGGAGAACUUGAGUACAGAAGAGGAAAGCGGAAUUCCACGUGCAGCGGUGAAAUGCGUAGAGAUGUGGAGGAACACCAGUGGCGAAGGCGGCUUUCUGGUCUGUAACUGACGCUGAGGCGCGAAAGCGUGGGGGAGCAAACAGGAUUAGAUACCCUGGUAGUCCACGCCGUAAACGAUGAGUGCUAAGUGUUAGGGGGUUUCCGCCCCUUAGUGCUGCAGCUAACGCAUUAAGCACUCCCGCCUGGGAGUACGGCCGCAAGGCUG
rnacentral:rRNA from 1 species